rnacentral:lncRNA from 10 species
AAUAUUUAUGUUUCAUUUUAGAAAGUAGAAUUGCAGAUGGACUAGGCCUCUAUUUGUGAUGAAGGCAGAAAAAAUUUUUAAUAACAGGCAUUUGAACAGAAAUAGAAAAAAACUACAAAGGUUAAUGUUGAGCACAGUGUAUCCACAUGAUAAACUCAAAUAUUUUUAAGGCAAUGGCAGUCUGACAUAUUUUCAAAUCACCUGUAUCACAAGAAAUAAGCAUCUGCGUGCAGGGCUUCAGGAAAGAGGUAAUAGCAAUUUCAUUGAGUCCAGGUCAGUAAAAAUGGAAGAAAAAUUGGAAAGUGUUAGUUUGGGGGUAUUUGGCUCUGAAAGAGUUCAGAGUUAAUAGUAGUUAUCUGUGGAUGAUGGCAGGGCCUUGCUGCAAAAUCUGAAGGGCCUCCUCUGAAUUCACCUGUAGGUAUCACUGGUAAACUGGGCUCUUUCCUCACUUUUGAUUAGUUGUACAGAAAGAACAUUUAAUUGAAAAAGACACUUAGGUUUUAUUUGAUGGCCAGC